rnacentral:rRNA from 1 species
GAUGAACGCUGGCGGCGUGCCUAAUACAUGCAAGUCGAGCGAACAGACGAGGAGCUUGCUCCUCUGACGUUAGCGGCGGACGGGUGAGUAACACGUGGAUAACCUACCUAUAAGACUGGGAUAACUUCGGGAAACCGGAGCUAAUACCGGAUAAUAUAUUGCACCGCAUGGUUCAAUAGUGAAAGACGGUUUUGCUGUCACUUAUAGAUGGAUCCGCGCCGCAUUAGCUAGUUGGUAAGGUAACGGCUUACCAAGGCAACGAUGCGUAGCCGACCUGAGGGGGUGAUCGGCCACACGGGAACUGAGACACGGUCCAGACUCCUACGGGGGGCAACAGUAGGGAAUCUUCCGCAAUGGGCGAAAGCCUGACGGAGCAACGCGGCGUGAGUGAUGAAGGUCUUCGGAUCGUAGAACUCUGUUAUUAUGGAAGAAGAAAUGUGUAAGUAACUAUGCACGUCUUGACGGUACCUAAUCAGAAAGCCACGGCUAACUACGUG